ensembl:lncRNA
CCUGGAGGUCUCCAUCUCUAGAGAGAGAGUGGUUUUCAAGCAUGCAUGCAUGUGAAUGUGUCAGGGAAACUUGCAACCCACAGACUCUUCUCUCAGGAGCUGGUUGUGAGGACUGAUUCCCCAACCCUGGUUCCAUUCCGGCUCCCCACUCUUUCCUCCUCCGGUAAGUCAUCUUUCUGUUACUGUACAAAUGCCGAGAUAAUCAGCUUCAAAACACAAAAGGUCUAUUUUGGCUUAUGGUUUCAGACAUUUCAGUCCACAGUCACUUAGCCCUGUUGUUUAAGGCUGUGGUGAGUGGUACAAGGUAGAGGAAGCACAAGGCAGAGGAAGCUGUUCAAGCUGACAGUUUGGAAGCAGAGAAAAGGAGAGAAGGGACCUGGUUCCAAUAUCCUCUUCUAAGGCACUCCCUCCCCAGUGAACUAACUCCUUCCACUAGGCCUCGCCUCCCAAAGGUUUCCACCACCUCCAGUAGUGCCACCUGCUGGGACCAAGCCUUCAACACACUGGCCUUUGAGGGUCAUUUAAGUUCCAAACUAUUGCACUUCUCUUCCAUGAAUAGAUUGUGGUAAGUGGUAUUGAACACCUUCUCCUGUCUGCAGCAGGAAUCUGGGAAUCUCUUCACCCAUAUUCUAGGAGUAAAUUUUCAGGAUUAAGCUUGUUUCUUAUGCCACCAGGAAGUCAGAAUUUGAGGUCAAUCUUGUCAAAUUGGCUGCGAUUUAUAAUUGGUAAAGUAGCCUUAAAGAAUAUGGUUGUCCAAACAUCAACUAAGUCUGGCCAAUGAGAGGUAAGCAGAAGUAACUAUGGCAGCUGCAAAAAAAAAAAAAAAAAAAAAAAAACUUUCCUUGAAAGAUAUCUAUGUUUUGCCCUUGCCCCUUAUUUGUCUCUUCUUCCAUCCUGUUGAUUAGAUAGUGGAUUUGAUGGCUGGAUCUCUAACUUCCGUGUUGAACUAUGGAGGGCCAUAUUACAGGAAUAGCUGCAUGGUGAAGAAUAGCUGAACACUGAAUGAGGAUGUUAAGGAGCAAAUGCACCAUACCAGCCUAAACCACCUACCUCUGGACUUUUAUGUGAAUGAAAAAAAUCAGAAUUUAUAUUUCUCUCAAACUGAUUAGCCCAACUGAUGUUUUGUUCUUUGAUUAAAAUAUCUGGAAUGUUUGUUCCUAUUAUAAGCUUGAAAGAAAUUUGUAUAGAUGAUUAUUUUUAUUUUCUAAUUAUUAUUUAAAAUGUAUACACUUAAAUCUGAGCUGGCCUAAAUGUUUAAUAUGGAUGAUCUCGUUUUUCUUGUUUCAUCUUUUGUGCUUUUUUUGAGGAGGAUGGAGAUGCUUAAUUAAGAUGGUACAGUUUGAACAGAAUCGUCCUGAGAGGUGUGACUCACAUGGAAAAGUCAUUCUGAGUCACUCAAAUUACAGACACAGCUUUUGUAUUGAGUUCAUGGUGAAUAAGAAUUCACAGUAAGAGUUUGAAAGCUACAUAUAUAAAGCCAAAUGUGAAGGAGAGAGAUUCAUUUUGAAAGGUUAAAGAUAAUCAAGAUCAUGACUCAAAAAGAGCCACGUCUUAAAAAUCUACAAUUCCUUGUUUUCCUUGCUGGGUCCUCUCUUGCAAUGUAAUAACCCCAAAGGUGGAAAUGUAGAACUUUAAUCAAGGCCACUGAAUGGAAUGACUGAUCUUCCCAGGGAGCCACAAGAACCUCCCUAUUCCGAGAAUCACUUUCUACCCCCAACCUCUUUUUUUAUUAACAGAGGAUUGAACUCAGGGGUGCUCUACCACAAGCUACAUCCAAAGCUCUUUUUACUUUUUAUUUUGAGUCAGAGUUUUGGUAAGAUGCCCAGACUUGCAAUCCUCCUAUCUUAACUGCCUGAAUCACUGGAAUUACAGGUGUGCACCACUAUGCCCAGCUUCUUUUCUUCCUUUUCUUGUGUUACCCCAAAGCUGCAGGGCUCCAGAGCCAAGGUUUUCUACAUUGGCUUCAUUACAUAUUUAAUAAGCAAACACAAGAAAAUCAGUUCUCUUCAACAAAUCCCUGUGCAAUGUCAGCUGAUAUCUACUAAGUACCACAAAUAAACUUAACUCCCUAGGCGAUAACCA